rnacentral:rRNA from 1 species
CUACGUGCCAGCAGCCGCGGUAAUACGUAGGGUGCAAGCGUUAAUCGGAAUUACUGGGCGUAAAGCGUGCGCAGGCGGUUUGCUAAGACCGAUGUGAAAUCCCCGGGCUCAACCUGGGAACUGCAUUGGUGACUGGCAGGCUAGAGUAUGGCAGAGGGGGGUAGAAUUCCACGUGUAGCAGUGAAAUGCGUAGAGAUGUGGAGGAAUACCGAUGGCGAAGGCAGCCCCCUGGGCCAAUACUGACGCUCAUGCACGAAAGCGUGGGGAGCAAACAGGAUUAGAUACCCUGGUAGUCCACGCCCUAAACGAUGUCAACUAGUUGUUGGGGAUUCAUUUCCUUAGUAACGUAGCUAACGCGUGAAGUUGACCGCCUGGGGAGUACGGUCGCAAGAUUAAAACUCAAAGGAAUUGACGGGGACCCGCACAAGCGGUGGAUGAUGUGGAUUAAUUCGAUGCAACGCGAAAAACCUUACCUACCCUUGACA